AUCAAAAUUGCAAUACGAAUUAAAAAGGGUAACAAAAUAAUGUAAAAUGGUAAUACAGGUGAAGCAUUAAAAUAAUAAAAUAAAAAGGAAUAGAAUACUAUGAUGACAAUGUUGAUAAUUAAAUUGCAAUAACAAAAUAAAUGAAGUAACUUAAAAUAAAAUAAAAUGGGAAAAAAUAUGCAUGAAAGGAAGUUAACAUAACUUGAAAAUAUAAUAAUUAAGAAAUAAUGAAGCAACAAAUAAGGAAAAUUAAAACUUCAACAAUAAUAAAACACACAAUUUUAAAAAAAAAUAAGAAUAAUCUAUUUAAUCUAUUUUUAAUGUAAAAAGGAUGAGGAAAUAAGACUAAAUAAAUAAAUACAUAAAAGUACAUGAAUGAAAUAAAUAUAGAAAAAAGGUUGAGAGAGUCGAAAUUGAGUGGCCCAGGGCAAAAUUGUAAUUUGGGAAGUACUUUAAGGCGGAUUUUAAAAAUAACAGAAAGAUAGAGCCAAUUGAGGGACUAAAAUGAAGCACACGCAAAAGUGCGUGGAUUAAAAUGGGAAUAUUCCCGUGCCAUUUAAACAGCGCCGUUCUUUAGGAUUAAAAUGAAAAAACAAUAAAAUCACAGGCUAAAUUUAAAGAAAUAAAAGAACUGAAUUGCAAACUAGCUAAAAAAGCAGAAAGACCAUAAUCAUAAAUAACCCAUUCAUCUAAAAUGCUCGGAUCCUCAAAGUGGGUUGGGUCGACGCGCGGAUCUUAAGGGUAAAACGACAUAGUUUUAAGGCUAUUAUGGCCAGCCCUAAAAGACGUCGUUUAAUGGGCUUAUAAAACUCAGAUUUUUUUAAAUUUUCAUUAUCCUCCUCCCUUUUCAAAAAAAAAAAACAAAGGAUUCUCUCUCAACCUCCCUUCUCCUCUCCAAGCGCCAGUCAUAGAGCGCCAUCGUCCAUCCACCGUACCGCCGCUGUGGCCGGUGGCCGACGACGAACAGAAUGGGCUUUUUAGCCCCGCUUUCAAAGAUUGGAAGGCCAAGCUUUCUCAACCCCAAAAGAUCGAAAGAAAAGGUCCAUCCCCCUCCCUUUUAGAUCUGAUUUUAACAACGAAAAAGAGACUUCCGACGACGAGACCGUGGGAUGAUUUCGGUGAGGCUUUCCUUCUUUUUAUCUUUUUUACUUUUCUUAUUAUUCGUAAGUAAAAAAAUGAAAUAAAAAAUAAAAAUAGAAUAAAACAAUAAUUUAAAACGAAAGUAGAAGUAAAAAAUCACCUCUGAAGUUUUGUUUUCUUUUUCUCUUUUUUUUUCUAAUGUGUGUAAAAAAUUUACAAAGAUGAAGUUCGGGUUUUUAUUGCCGGAUUAAACAACUCUUUGUUUCUAUUUUUUUGUUUGUUUCUGCUUGGUUCUUCUGCUGUUUUGCAUUGAUUUCUCUUUGCAGGUGUCAGAGGCGUGCGACGCGCGUGGAGGUGGCUAGCGUGCGGUGGCCAGGAGCAGGCCUAAAGGUGGCGGCCAGGAGCGGACCUAGGUGCAGCGCACCUAGGGUUAGGAGAAUUAGGGUUUUUCUGAUAAUGUUGGGUUUAAGCUAUUGGGCUAGGCUAGUUGGGCUUAAGUCUAUUUAAUUUUAUUUAGGCUGAGGUCUGUAAUGGUUUGGGUUUUAAUUUUUAUUUGGGUUGUCUGAUUUGGGUUUCAGGUUUUCUAUUAUUUAUUUGGUUCUGUUUGGGUAUUAUUGGGCCCGGACAAAAAUGGGCCAUUAUAGGCUGGUAAUGGGAUGUGGGGUGCAGAUGAAUAGUUAUGUUGCAGACGUUUUUUUUCUGCGGAAGCCAUUGCUUGCAUCCAAGCACUUCAGUUUGGAUAGAUCUGAAAUUGGUGUGCUUAUAGAAGAAAUCUUAUCUUUAGAUCUAACUUUUCAUUUUAUUUCAUUUUGACAUGCAGAUAGAUCAGUAAACACUGUAGCCCACAAGUUAGCAACAACGGGGUUUACAAAGGGAAACACUAUGUUCUAGGUUGAAGAGGUACCUGAAGACAUACUGGAGGUGGUGCAUCGUGAUAUGGCCCUUUAGUUUCUUCCACCAUGAUCCAUUACAUCAAUCUUUUCUGCUUCAUAUCAGGGAAUGAUGAACUCAACUUUACCAUUGGAUCGCCUUGUUGGUUUGAGGGCCCAUUUUGCUUUCUCACAUGAGAACUGGUAUCGUCAUCUUUGGUUUCGCCGAGGCUCAUUGUACUUUUUUGCUUUUUUGUUUUGCGUUUUGUUUCAGUCAGUUUCAUAUUUGCUGUUUGUUUUAUUGCUUGUUUUGAGUACAACUGUGUGAAGGGUUCCAGAGUGUGAAGGGGACAGAGACACGUGGUUGGUUGAUGUUUUUGUUAAUUAAAAAAAUUACCCACAUCUUCUUUUUUGUGCAACAUGGUCUAACGUGCAAUACAUGUCCAUUUCAUGAAACUAACUUCCC
rnacentral:lncRNA from 1 species